UAGGACAACUGUAAGUCAGAAAAUUGGUCCCUUUUUGUUUGCUUUUAGUAUAAUGAUUCUGAUGUUGGUUUUUUUUGUUUGUUCGUUUUAUUUUAUUUUUGUGGUGGUUUUUGUUUGUUCAUUGUUUUUAAUUACAAAUGAGUGUUACAUAUUCAGUAUUUUUCCUACAACUCUGAAGGCAGAUUUUUCCCUUGUUGCAGGAUAGCACCAAAAGGACAACAUAAAUCCUCUCUGGUACUCUUCAGCCCACGUUCAAAGAUGUGAAGUAUUUGCUAUACAAGAUUUAUGCACCAAGGUGAUUCUCUAACAAAUUAUGUCAAGACAUCUGAAAGUCAUCAUUUCUGUGCACACACAUGCAUUUUAAAAGAAAAUCUACACGAGGAUCAAAAACAAGAUUAAACCACAUCUGCUUGGGUUUAAACUACAUUGUCUGCAGAGUUCAAAGUUGUUUCCCUUCAUCUAAAAAAAAUGUACCCAGCUGUUUUUUAUCUUAAAUUCCUACCACUAUCAAGGAGCUGUUUUCAUUGGCCAACUAAUGUUAUUUCUAGAAGCUGAGCUAGUUGGGAAUGGAGCUAAGUAAGAAAAUAUGCUUUAUUCAUCAAAGGUCUACCCUCUGUGACUUGACUUGGCACACUGUGAAAAUUAAUAGAGAGGUUUCAUCAGGUUUUAAUGGGAGCUGUGUAUCUACUGUAUGUCAUCAUGCCAUAAAUUAGGUCCUCAAUCUUUUUACACAAGUAAUUGACUACAACUGACACCGAUAAGAAAAACACAAGAAAGAAUGAACUGGAAGAGACAGAAAUUGUAUAAUAAACAAAUACAGCACAAAUUCUAUACAUGAGAAAGAUAAAUAUUUUGGAAACUGUCAUCAAUCAGUAAAUAUUCUGGAUAAAUGCAGGUGUUGUAGCAGUAGUGCUGUAAUAGUGUCAGCUACCACUGACAAAUGUACACACCCAGGUACAUAUGUAUGUGUAUGUAUACAUGCAUACACACACGUAGGAACUGAG
rnacentral:lncRNA from 1 species